rnacentral:rRNA from 1 species
GCUCCUGUCGGUCGGUCCGCCUUCUUGGUGUGUACUUACUCGACGGGAGCUUACCUCCUGGUGAGCUGUCAUGCCCUUCACUGGGUGUGGCAGGGAACCAGGACUUUUACUUUGAAAAAAUUAGAGUGUUCAAAGCAGGCCUUUGCCCGAAUACAUUAGCAUGGAAUAAUAAAAUAGGACGCGCGUUCCCAUUUUGUUGGUUUAUGAGAUCGCCGUA